rnacentral:lncRNA from 1 species
CUAAAUGACGAGUUAAUGGGUGCAGCACACCAGCAUGGCACAUGUAUACGUAUGUAACUAACCGGCACAUUGUGCACAUGUACCCUAAAACUUAAAGUAUAAUAAUAAUAAAAAAUAAAUAAAUAAAUAAAAUAUAAUAAUUAGCCCAUCGUGGUGGCGCCCACCUGUAAUGCCAGCUACUCAGGAGACUGAUGAAGGAGAAUUGUUUGAACCCAGGAGGCGGAGGUUCCAGUGAGCUGAGGUUGCACCACUGCACUCCAGCCUGGAUGACAGAGUGAGACCCUGUCUCAAAAAAAAAAAAAAAAAAAAAAAAAAAAAGGACACAGGUGGGAUCCAGGAAAUCCAUGCACAGGCUUCUUUAUGCUCUGUACCUCCCUUGAGCAACAGACUGAAAUCCAGAGGACCAGGCACAGGCUUCCAAGAGUCGCCCUGUGGAGUCAUACAAGACUCAAUUUCUCCAGCAAUGAGUUGUGACAACAUGUGCAAAGUGUUGUCUACUGGGGAAGCUCAUUAGAGACUCAGUGGCCAAGGCUUUUUAGUGGGGACUGGUCACAUAGGUACUCUCUACCUAGCACAUAUCAGAAUCCUAGACUCUGAGGGAAUGCAGGUGUUCCGCAUAAACCACAUAGUUUCUACAAACAGUUUAGGCACAAUAAACCACUCUUGUUUUUUGUUUUUUUGUUUUUUUUUGUUUUGUUUUUUGAGACAGAGUCUCGCUCUGUCGCCCAGGCUGGAGUAGAGUGGCAUAAUCUCUGCUGACUGCAACGUCCUCCUCCUGGGUUCAAGCAAUUGUCCUACCUCGGCUUCCCCAGUAGCUGGGAUUACAGGACACUGCAACGAUGCCCAGCUAAUUUUUGUAUUUUUAGUAGAUACAGGGUUUCACCAUGUUGGUCAGGCUGGUCUCAAACCCCUGACCUCAAGUGAUCCACCCGCCUCGGCCUCCCAAAGUGCUGGGAUUACAGGCAUGAGCGACUGUGCCCAGCCACAAUGAACAACUCGUAUCAGUGUAGCAAACUGUUUACUAGCCAAAUUGGCAGAUGCUAGUCAAGGGCUAACCUUGCAAUCAGAUCUUUCUAAGGAUAAUAGUCUCAGUCUCUUCUGUACAAAGACAUUUAAGAGAAAGUCGUUCUCCAAAGACAUUUAAGAGAAAGUCAUUCUCUUUUUUUUUUUAUUUGAGUCAAAGUCUCGCUCUGCCACCCAGGCUGGAGUGCAGUGUCGCGAUCUUGGCUCACUACAACCUCCGCCUCCUGGGUUCAUGCAAUUCUCCUGCCUCAGCCUCCCAAGUAGCUGGGAUUACAGGCGCCUGCCACCACGCCCGGCUAAAUUUUGUAUUUUUGGUAGAGACAGGUUUCGCCAUGUUGGCCAGGCUGGUCUCAAACUCCUGACUGCAAGUGAUCUUUGUUUUUUAUGAUGUUGAUGUCUUGAUGAGUUCUUUAGUUGGGGUUUGCCUAAUAGCUUCUCAUGAUUCGAUUCAGAUUAUGAAUUUUUGGCAGAAAUACCACAGAGGUGACUUGUGUCUUUCUCAGUGCAUUACGUCGGAAAGCACAUAAUACCAAUUUGUCCCUGUCCUGGUGACGCUAAAGGUGACUUGGUUAAGGUAGUGUUCUCCAUUAUAAAGUUACCCUAAUCCUUGUUAUAAUUAAAAAGUAAGCCUGGGCAACAUAGUGAGAUCUCGUCUCUACAAAAAAUUUAAAAAUUAGCCCUCUGGGCCGGGUGUGGUGGCUCACGCCUGUAAUUCCAGCACUUUGGGAGGCCGAGGCGGGGUGAUCACCUGAGGUCAGGUCAGGGUUCAAGACCAGCCUGACAAACAUAGUGAAACUCCGUCUCUACUCAAAAUAGAAAAAAUUAGCUGGGCAUGGUGGCAGGCGCCUGUAAUCACAGCUACUCAGGAGGCUGAGGCAGGAGAAUCGCUUGAACCCACCACACCUGGCUAAUUUUUGUAUUUUUAGUAGAGACCGGGUUUCACCACGUUGGUCAGGCUGGUCUUGAACCCCUGACCUCAGGUGAUCUGCCUGCCUUGGCCUCCCAAAGCGCUGGGAUUACAGGCGUGAGCCACAGCACCCAGCCUUUUUUUUUUUUUUUUUUUUUUUUUUAAUAGAGAGUCUUGCUCUGUCGCCCAGGCUGGAGUGCAGUGGCCCGACCUCGGCUCACUGCAACCUCUGCCUUCCAGGUUCAAGCGAUUCUCCUUCUUCAGCCUUCCGAGUAGCUGAGAUUACAGGUGCCCGCCAUCAUGCCCGGCUAAUUUUUGUAUUUUUAAUAGAGACGGGGUUUCACCAUGUUGGCCCGGCUGGUCUCGAACUUCUGACCUCAAUUGAUCCACCUGCCUCGGCCUCCCAAACCGCUGGGAUUACAGGCGUGAGCCACUGCGCCUGGCCAAUGAUGCUUGCCUAAAACAAUUAUUACAGUAGUAGUUGCCAAAUAGUUAUUUUCUAAUUCCAUCAUUCCUUGUACAUUUAUUAGUUGGCAUUCCUCUGUGAGGAAGAGUUUUCCCUUCGCCUCCAUUUAUUUAUUUAGAUCACUUUGGACUCUUGUAUUCUUUUUUAAUUCAAAUUCUUUCAAUGUGUGGUUAAAACAAGAUGUUCCAGGCUAAUCUUGUACUUUCCUUGCCCCAGCCCUGCAAUCAGCUAUUUCUCUAAGGGGCCCUGGUUCCUGUUAGUGGAAAAUGGUAAUUAGGCAAGAGAAAUCAAUUACAGCCAGUGUGACUGAUUGGAAAAGAAUAAAGAUAUCCCUAUUUUCAGAUGAUAUGAUUUUGUACCUGGUAAACCCUAGAGAAUCAAUGAUAAAACACUCUAACAAUAAAAGUAUUCAGUAAAAUGGAAGGAUAUAAAAUUAACAUAGAGAAAUCAAUGGCUUUUGUAUAUAUCAACAAUAACCAGUGAGAGGAUAUAAAGACGCAUAGUGGCUCACAUGUGUAGUCCCAGCUACUUGGGAAGUUGAAAUGGGAGGAUGGCUUGAGCCCAGGAGUUCACGGCUGUAGUGUGCCAUGAUCAUGCCUAUAAAUAGCCAGUGCAGUCCAGCUGGGGCAACAUAGUGAGAUCCU